rnacentral:rRNA from 1 species
AUUGAACGCUGGCGGCAGGCCUAACACAUGCAAGUCGAGCGGAGCGGCGGACGGGUGAGUAAUGCCUAGGAAUCUGCCUGGUAGUGGGGGAUAACGUCCGGAAACGGGCGCUAAUACCGCAUACGAUUGGAGCGGCCGAUGCCCGAUUAGCUAGAUGGUGAGGUAAAGGCUCACCAAGGCGACGACCGUUAGCUGGUCUGAGAGGACGACCAGCCACACUGGGACUGAGACACGGCCCAGACUCCUAAGGGAGGCAGCAGUGGGGAAUUUUGGACAAUGGGGGCAACCCUGAUCCAGCCAUGCCGCGUGCAGGAUGAAGGUCUUCGGAUUGUAAAGUACUUUCAGCGAGGAGGCGUUACUCGCAGAAGAAGCACCGGCUAACUCCGUGCCAGCAGCCGCGGUAAUUC